rnacentral:rRNA from 1 species
GAGAAAGAGAACAAGAGCGAACGGUGGAUGCCUAGGCUUCUGGAGGCGACGAAGGACGUGGUAAGCUGCGAAAAGCUCCGGGUAUUUGCAAACAGGAAUUGAUCCGGAGAUGUCCGAAUGGGGAAACCCGUCAGGUUGAAGACCUGACACUGACAUAGUCAGAGCGAACGUGGGGAACUGAAACAUCUUAGUACCCACAGGAAGAGAAAGAAAUAUCGAUUCCCAAAGUAGUGGCGAUCGAAAUGGGAAGAGCCUAAACCGUUGGCGUUACGGCGUCAUCGGGGUUGUAGGAGUAGUCAUAGAAAUAUGUUGAACGAACUGGAACCGUCUGGAAAGUCGGAUCGAAGAGGGUGACAAUCCCGUACAGGCAAGUUCGGCAUAUAGAGAUUACCACCUGAGUAGGGCGGGACACGUGGAAUCCUGUCUGAAUCUGCGGCGACCAUGCCGCAAGGCUAAAUACUACCAGAAGACCGAUAGUGAACCAGUACUGUGAAGGAAAGGUGGGAAGCACCCCGAACAGGGGAGUGAAAUAGACCCUGAAACCGUUCGUUUACAAGCGGUCGGAGCCCGAAAGGGCGACGGCGUGCCUUUUGCAUAAUGAGCCUACGAGUUGCUUCAUGUUGGCGAGGUUAAGUCCUUCAGGGACGUUAGCCGUAGCGAGAGCGAGUCUGAAGAGGGCGUUGAGUCAGCAUGAGCAGACGCGAAACCUAGUGAUCUACCCAUGGCCAGGUUGAAGUUGCCGUAACAGGCAAUGGAGGACCGAACCAGUUUCCGUUGAAAAGGGCUUGGAUGAGCUGUGGGUAGGAGUGAAAGGCCAAUCAAACUGGGAGAUAGCUCGUACUCCCCGAAAUGUCUUUAGGGACAGCCUCGUCCGUGAUUAUGUGAGGUAGAGCUACUGAUAGGAAAAGAGGGCUUCAUCGCCUAUCGAUUUCUGAUAAACUCCGAAUGCGCAUAAUUUAGAGGACGGGAGUGAGUCGUCGGGUGCUAAUAUCCGUCGGCGAGAGGGUAAGAGCCCAGACCAACAGCUAAGGCCCCGAAGAGCAGUUUAAGUUGAGACAGAACGAGGUGACAUCGCAUGGACAGCUAGGAUGUUAGCUUGGAAGCAGCUAUUCAUUCAAAGAGUGCGUAACAGCUCACUAGUCGAGCGAUGACGCGUGGAUGAUGACCGGGCAUCAAGACUGCCGCCGAAGCUUUGGACGCUUGCAAGUCAGGCGUGGUAGGGGAGCAUUCCAGUCAGCGCAGAAGGUGUACCGUGAGGUAUGCUGGAGCGUCUGGAAAAGAAAAUGUAGGCAUAAGUAACGACAAUCAAUAUAGAAAUAUUGACACCGAAAACCCCAGGUUUCCUGAACAACGUUAAACGGAUCAGGGUUAGUCGGGAACUAAGUGGUAGCCGAGAGGCGAACAUGAUGACGAAAUGGUUAAUAUUCCAUUACUCGCUAUGCAGGAUACGAUGAGACCGAGGAGUGACACUGCCGCCGGCUGACGGAAUAGCCGGUUAAAGGACGUAGGGCGACUGAAAUCCGACAGUACCGGGAGCCUUCGGGCGACUGGACAGCGCAGGUAAUCAGACUUGCAAGAAAAUCAUUGUAUUGUCAAGCGCAUAGCGACCCGUACCGUAAACCGACACAGGUGGGUGAGGAGAGGAUCCUAAGGUGCUCGAGUGAAUCAUGGCUAAGGAACUAGGCAAAUUGACCGCGUAACUUCGGGAGAAGCGGACCCCAGUAAUGGGGCGCAGAGAAAUGGCCCAGGCGACUGUUUACCAAAAACACAUGGCUAUGCGAAAUCGUUAAGAUGACGAAUAUGGCCUGACACCUGCCCGGUGCCGGAAGGUUAAGAGGGGGGCUCAGCGCAAGC